ACCUAAUGCAGGAAUCAAAAAAAGGCUUUCAGACUUUAGUUGCUAUUUCCAACUGAAUUUUAUUCUAAGCAUUUAGAGAUCUUGUUGUCGGGCCUUGCACAUCUUAAAAUGGAUUUACAUGUAGAAUCAUAAGUAAUCUAGGCUCAAUCUGUUUUGCUGAAAAUAACCUGUUCAAAAAUUUACUAAAGAACACAUUUUCUGAGAAAAUAUUAGGACAUCAAUUUUUAAUUACACUUCAAAAAUUAAAAGAUGCAUGUACCAUAACAUGGAAAAAUGCUAUUUCAUUAAAAUUUACAGAGUUAUAAUUUUUAGGCCGAGUUGCUAAUUCUUAACUAUUUAAUGACAAAAUGCAGGCUUUUUGAUAAAUAAAUAAAUAAAUAUGUCUUUGCUUAUUGCAUUUUCUGUAUCACCAUUAAAUGGCUUUUCUCAAUAAGAACUCCAUCAAACACAAGGUGAAGCUGAAGAAGUCAUUUUGGUGCACCCUUUCACGGUUUCACCAACUCCCUAAUGUCUUAGGUGCACGUCCAAGAAAUUACAACAAAUAUUUUCUCAGUAAAAACCACAUCCAAGAUUUCACACAUUCAUCUUUACCUGGGCAGUCCUACAAAAUUGACAUUUCUAUCCUGCUGAGGUGCUGGUCUAUGAAAUAAAUUAUUUUGCUUUCUCAAACUUCAACUUACAUGAUCUUUUUAUUAGUCAUUGACGCUAAUUGAAAUAACCUGAACUUGCCCCAGCUCCAAAUAGAAGUUGCCAGCACAUCAGACCUAGGAUGCACAAAAAGGGGAGUUG
rnacentral:misc_RNA from 1 species